GGGAGGCAGCAGUGAGGAAUCUUCCGCAAUGGACGAAAGUCUGACGGAGCAACGCCGCGUGAGUGAAGAAGGUUUUCGGAUCGUAAAACUCUGUUGUUAGGGAAGAACAAGUGCCGUUCGAAUAGGGCGGCACCUUGACGGUACCUAACCAGAAAGCCACGGCUAACUACGUGCCAGCAGCCGCGGUAAUACGUAGGUGGCAAGCGUUGUCCGGAAUUAUUGGGCGUAAAGCGCGCGCAGGUGGUUUCUUAAGUCUGAUGUGAAAGCCCACGGCUCAACCGUGGAGGGUCAUUGGAAACUGGGGAACUUGAGUGCAGAAGAGGAAAGUGGAAUUCCAAGUGUAGCGGUGAAAUGCGUAGAUAUUUGGAGGAACACCAGUGGCGAAGGCGACUUUCUGGUCUGUAACUGACACUGAGGCGCGAAAGCGUGGGGAGCAAACAGGAUUAGAUACCCCGGUAGG
rnacentral:rRNA from 1 species